rnacentral:lncRNA from 1 species
UGCAAAGAGGAGCGAAGGAAGAAGAAGGUGACACGUCAGCAACCUGUUCGUGACACGUGUCGCUGGUCAAAGGACACGUGGCACACGUGAUCUGAAGCAGAGAAGGUAACUCUGCUCCGGCAACUAGAAGCAUCAGAGUUUGCAUCUAAUUUUGCAUUUCUGUUGAGUACCAGUAAUUACUCCCUCCGUUCAUAAAAGAUGAAAGAUAUAUUUAUUUCAAUUUUUUUUAUCACCAAGAAAAAAAUUAACCUCAUCCCCAGUCUAACAAAAUAGAAAAAAAUCUAUAUGCAUACAAGAAUUAAAAUAACAGCUUAGUUUAGAUUAAGAAAUAAUUUAACACAAAGACUACACAACUAUAAUUAUCUCUUUUAGAAAAACUAAAAAUUGAAACAUUCUUAACACUUUUGGACUUUGGACAGAUGGUGUGGUUCUAUACAGUUACUAAUCCUAGUUGAUAUCUUUCAAUAAAAAUACAUCAAUAUUCAAACUUGUUUCCUGAAUCAGACUCAAAAAUCCAAACUCUUGAUCCAAAAUUAAAAGCUUGUUACUGCCACGUGUGGGCGUGGCUGGUCAAAUCACACGUGAGCAGAAGCUUUGGCGCAAGAAGCAGAGUAAAAGUGGUAAUCCUAAUCAAUUUCUCCUCAAAUAAAAGAACACCAAAAUUAAAACUGUCUUUUGUAAAUCAGACUCAAAACGGGAAACAUUUUAAGCAAAGAUUUGAGAGUUUUGGAUCACUUACGGUUGAACCAGAUGUUGGAGGCGAGCUCCUCGGCCUUGCGGCUCCAGGUGUUGAAGAAGUCGAGGAUGUGCUCCAUCGGGCUGUCCCCUCUCUCCGGCCGCCCCCGCGGCG